rnacentral:hammerhead_ribozyme from 1 species
AUCCAACUGACGCAUCUCAAAUAAGACGAAGCGCGUGUCAAACUGGAU